GUGAUAAUCAUGGGGUGUGUAAUCCCAUCAGUGGAUUAGUCCACUGCUGGGUUUAUAGCCGAGUGUGAUGUUGGGAGGUGGAGCCUGGUAAGAGGAGGCAAUCACUGGGGGCGUGACAUGGCAGGGUCUGUCUUCCUGCCUCCCCCCUUGAUCUCUCUCUGAUUACUGCCUCCAUGUCAUGAGCUGUUUCCCCUCUGCCAUGCUGCUCUUCCUUUGAGCCAAAUGACUAUGGACUGAAACCUUUACAAACUGUGAGCUAAAUAAGCCUUUCCUCUGUUAACUUGCUGUGUCAUGUAUUGUGUUUCGAGAGAAGAAAGUGACUAAGAUACCCACCUGUCUGGACACAUAGGGCAGGCUGUGCCUCAGGGGCUUGGCACACACUGUUGCUUCCUUGGCAUUGCCUCCCUUGUUGCCCAUUCAGUUCAGGCCUUAGCCCCAGCAUCUUUCCAAGUGCCUACCACAAAACAUACCUCCAUCCCAUGGAGAUGUCUUUGUUUCUCAUCCCUCACUAGAACAUGAACAGUUUUGUGAGGGCUAGGGUUUUGAUUUGUUUUGACCUGAGUCUCCUCCAGGCCUAGAACAAUGCGUGACACACCGCAGUGGGUGGAGGAAUGGUGUUGAGUGGCCGGAUUACUGGGUCUUGCUGUGUUGCCUGAACUUGUGAUCUUCCUGCCUCAAACUCCCAAGUACCAGGAGUUACAAACUCGUGCCACCACUCCUGGCUCAUCACAAGCCCCUUUUGACAACACCUGGCUUUAUAUUAAUGAAGUCAGUUUUGGAGGGUGGGGUUGGCUGCCAGAGGAAGCAACCAAGUGACAAGGAUCCAAACUUCAGGCCUCACUUACCGCCCCCUGGGAUGGGGAGAAGGGCUGGAGUAAUCACCAAUGGCCAGCAAGGUUCAGACAACUGUGAGGCCUACUGGUUUCUGGGGUGCACCUUGAAGGGGAAGCAGAGAUCCUGGCCCUUCUUCCCAGCCACCGUGAAGUGAGCUGGCCCCUCUGCUAAGUGUUUGCACUAUGAGGAGCUGCAUUGCCUCAGGCUUGAAGCAACAGGGCCCAGGGGUGUGGACUGAAAAGUCUGAGCCAAAAGCCUUUCCUCUCUGAUUUGCCCUGGGAGAUAGAAAUCAACCUGGCAGAGAACAGAGAAAAAUUGAGGACUUAUUACAACUACAACUGAGGAGACCACAUUCAAGCCACCUCAAAAGCAUGUUCUCGGGUUUUAUAGGAUGGUGACUGUUUCCACAAUUAAUUACAUCUCUGAUGUGUCAGGACUUGUGAUGGAGCAGCAAAGGUCAAAUUGUCUUGUAAGAAUGGGUGUUUUCAGACAGCUUGGGUCUGAAGUUCAGCGUGAAUGCUCUCAAAACCUGGUCUAACAAGGCUGCCAGCUUCAUUCCAAGUGCCCUACACCAGUGCUGCUCCCUUUGAUCUUCUUCCCUGAUAGGUUCCUGGUAGCUUACCAGAAGAAUUUACAGAACAUAGUAAUUACAAAGAGAGGACAGAAUUCCUGGGCCAGGGAAAUGUAAAUGACCCUGCUGUCUGUCCCCUUACCUGGGGCUCCUCAGCCUGCAUCGCUGUCUCUGCCAGCUCAGCUUCUAUCUCGGCUCUGCACUUGCAGACCCCGUCACGGGUAGAUGCCCUCAAGCUUGUGGCUGGUGUUUCAGCUGACAGGGCUCCCUGUGCUGCGGACCAGGCCAGCCUUGCUCCCACCUGCCCUUGCUGGCCUGGCUGCCCUUGGUGUCUUCCCUGCAGGUCUGUGAAGGGAGGGUCUGGCCAGCCUCCCUGGCCUCCUGAGGGGGUCACUUGUGUUUGGGCACAACGUGACUGGAUGACACAAUCCUCUUGCUUUCCACAUUCUCUGUGUUUGGUUUGCUCUGCCCUGGG
ensembl:lncRNA